rnacentral:rRNA from 1 species
AACGAACGCUGGCGGCAGGCUUAACACAUGCAAGUCGAACGCAUCCUUCGGGGUGAGUGGCAGACGGGUGAGUAACGCGUGGGAACGUGCCCUUCAGUUCGGGAUAACCCAGGGAAACUUGGGCUAAUACCGGAUACGUGCGAGAGCAGAAAGAUUUAUCGCUGAAGAAUCGGCCCGCGUCUGAUUAGCUAGUUGGUGGGGUAAUGGCCCACCAAGGCGACGAUCAGUAGCUGGUCUGAGAGGAUGAUCAGCAACAUUGGGACUGAGACACGGCCCAAACUCCUACGGGAGGCAGCAGUGGGGAAUAUUGGACAAUGGGCGCAAGCCUGAUCCAGCCAUGCCGCGUGAGUGAGGAAGGCCUUAGGGUUGUAAAGCUCUUUCGUCCGGGACGAUAAUGACGGUACCGGAAGAAGAAGCCCCGGCUAACUUCGUGCCAGCAGCCGCAGUAA